UGAAUACGAGAUGCUACGGCGUCGAAGCAGUGUAUGUCAGACUUCCAAGAAAAGCUCGCAAUGUCAUAAAUAAAGAAUGCCUGUACCAUAACCGACACAGGUGGGUAGGUAGAGUAUACUAAGGGGCGCGAGAUAACUCUCUCUAAGGAACUCGGCAAAAUAACUCCGUAACUUCGGGAGAAGGAGUGCCUUCUUUAAGAAGGUUGCAAUAACAAGAUCCAAGCAACUGUUUAUCAAAAACACAGGUCUCCGCUAAGUCGUAAGACGAUGUAUGGGGGCUGACGCCUGCCCAGUGCCAGAAGGUUAAAGAAGCUGGUUAGCAAUAGCGAAGCUGGUGACUGAAGCCCUGGUGAACGGCGGCCGUAACUAUAACGGUCCUAAGGUAGCGAAAUUCCUUGUCGGGUAAGUUCCGACCCGCACGAAAGGCGUAAUGAUUUGGAUACUGUCUCGGAGAGGGACUCGGUGAAAUAGACUUGUCUGUGAAGAUGCGGACUACCUGCACCAGGACAGAAAGACCCUAUGAAGCUUUACUGUAACCUGAAAUUGAAAUUGGACUUUAUUUGCGCAGUAUAGGUGGGAGGCGUUGAAAGUAAUCUUGCGGGAUUAGUGGAGCCGUCAGUGAGAUACCACUCCUAUAAUGUUAGAUUUCUAACUUUGGAUCAUGAUCUGGUCAAAGAACAGUUUCAGGCGGGCAGUUUGACUGGGGCGGUCGCCUCCCAAAUGGUAACGGAGGCGUACAAAGGUUUCCUCUGAACGGGUAGAAAUCGUAUCUACAGUGUAAAGGCAUAAGGAAGCUUGACUGUGAGACCUACAAGUCGAGCAGGGACGAAAGUCGGUCUUAGUGAUCUGACGGUGCUGAGUGGAAAGGCCGUCACUCAACGGAUAAAAGUUACUCUAGGAUAACAGGCUGAUCUCCCCCAAGAGUUCACAUCGACGGGGAGGUUUGGCACCUCGAUGUCGGCUCAUCGCAUCCUGGGGCGGUAGUACGUCCCAAGGGUUGGGCUGUUCGCCCAUGAAAGCGGUACGCGAGCUGGGUUCAGAACGUCGUGAGACAGUUCGGUCCAUAUCCGGUGUAGGCGUUAGAAUAUUGAGAGGAGCCUUCUCUAGUACGAGAGGACCGAGAAGGACAUACCUCUGGUGUACCAGUUAUCGUGCCAACGGUAAACGCUGGGUAGCUAUGUAUGGAGAGGAUAACCGCUGAAAGCAUCUAAGUGGGAAGCCCACCUCAAGAUGAGUAUUCUCAUC
rnacentral:rRNA from 1 species